rnacentral:rRNA from 1 species
UACGUAGGGGGCAAGCGUUGUCCGGAUUUAUUGGGCGUAAAGAGCGUGUAGGCGGCCAGGUAGGUCCGUUGUGAAAACUGGAGGCUUAACCUCCAGCUGUCGAUGGAAACCAUCUGGCUAGAGUCCGGAAGAGGAGAGUGGAAUUCCUGGUGUAGCGGGUGAAAUGCGCAGAUAUCAGGAAGAACACCCGUGGCGAAGGCGGCUCUCUGGGACGGUACUGACGCUGAGACGCGAAAGCGUGGGGAGCGAACAGG